AUUGAACGCUGGCGGCAUGCCUUACACAUGCAAGUCGAACGGCAGCACGGGUGCUUGCACCUGGUGGCGAGUGGCGAACGGGUGAGUAAUACAUCGGAACCUGUCCUGUAGUGGGGGAUAGCCCGGCGAAAGCCGGAUUAAUACCGCAUACGAUCUACGGAUGACAGGGGGGGACCUUCGGGCCUCGCGCUGUAGGGUUGGCCGAUGGCUGAUUAGCUAGUUGGUGGGGUAAAGGCCUACCAAGGCGACGAUCAGUAGCUGGUCUGAGAGGACGACCAGCCACACUGGGACUGAGACACGGCCCAGACUCCUACGGGAGGCAGCAGUGGGGAAUUUUGGACAAUGGGCGAAAGCCUGAUCCAGCAAUGCCGCGUGUGUGAAGAAGGCCUUCGGGUUGUAAAGCACUUUUGUCCGGAAAGAAAUCCUUGGCCCUAAUACGGUCGGGGGAUGACGGUACCGGAAGAAUAAGCACCGGCUAACUACGUG
rnacentral:rRNA from 1 species